CUUUCUUCAUUCCUCUCGUCAAUUCCCGGCCUAUCUUGUAUGACAUCUUUCCGCCAAUCAGCAGGGUUUUCAUACGGUAUACUGGAAAUAAGAACAGUGGCGGAACUGAUCCAACAGCAAAAACCUGUGCCGAAAGUGUCUCCAGUGGAAUGAUGUAAACUACCUUUGAAUGGGACGACUGAAAUAGAAAUGGAAACUGCGUGUUCCCGAUUGAUCGAUAAAGAACGGUAUGCAUCCAGAUUAUGUGGGUUUUC
rnacentral:sRNA from 1 species